rnacentral:ncRNA from 2 species
AGUUAAAGUUUAACUAUCUUUCGUAUAACCUCAAUAAUAUGGAUUGGGGGUCUCUACUUUGGAACCGCAAAUUCCUCGCUACGAAAAAUGUGCAUGGGCAC